rnacentral:rRNA from 1 species
UUCCGGUUGAUCCUGCCGGACCCGACUGCUAUCGGAUUGAGAUUUAGCCAUGCGAGUUGAACGUCUCUUGAUUGCAGGGGGCGUAGCAUACGGCUCAGUAACACGUAGUCAACCUGCCCUGGAGACACGGAUAACCCCGGGAAACUGGGACCAAUCCGUGAUAGGCCACUUCAUCUGGAAGGAGAGGUGGCCCAAAGGUGAGUUGUGGGCUUCCACUUCACUCGCUCCAGGAUGGGACUGCGGCCGAUCAGGCUGUUGGCGGGGUAAUGGCCCACCAAACCUGUAACCGGUACGGGCCUUGAGAGAGGUGGCCCGGAGAUGGACACUGAGACAAGGGUCCAGGUCCUACGGGGCGCAGCAGGCGCGAAACCUUCGCAAUGUGCGAAAGCAUGACGAGGUUAAUCCGAGUGGCUUCCGCUGAGGAAGUCUUUUGCCGACUCUAAAACGGUCGGAGAAUAAGGGGAGGGCAAGUCUGGUGUCAGCCGCCGCGGUAAUACCAGCUCCUCGAGUGGUCGGGGCGAUUAUUGGGCCUAAAGCAUCCGUAGCCGGUUCUGUAGGUCUUCUGCAAAAUCCAGUCGCUCAACGAUUGGCCCGCAGGAGAUACCGCAGGACUAGGAGGCGGGAGAGGUGGACGGUACUCCACGUGUAGGGGUAAAAUCCUUUGAUCCGUGGAAGACCACCAGUGGCGAAGGCGGUCCACCAGAACGCGCUCGACGGUGAGGGAUGAAAGCUGGGGGAGCGAACCGGAUUAGAUACCCGGGUAGUCCCAGCCGUAAACGAUGCGAGCUAGAUGAUCCAAUCGCAAAUCGCGAUUGGAGUGUCGCAGGGAAGCCGUUAAGCUCGCCGCCUGGGGAGUACGGUCGCAAGACUGAAACUUAAAGGAAUUGGCGGGGGAGCACCACAAGGGGUGAAGCCUGCGGUUCAAUUGGAGUCAACGCCGGG